rnacentral:lncRNA from 1 species
AAAAGUAGAGAAAGAUGUGGAGAGAAAUAACAAAAUCAGACAAGCGGUGAGGGGAAAAGCUUAAUGGUGGUUUUCGACAAUUGAUGAAGAAGAAGGAGAGGUUUUGGUGAGAUUAGGAUUAGAGAAUCGGAGAAAGUAAAUGAAGAAGUAGAUCUGAGAUUGUAAUGUGAUAUACGGACUUUUGGAAAUUCAAAAAAUAAAACUUUUAAAUGAUUUUGUGACUCAGGUGAUGAUUGUUUGUUUGGUUUCUAGAUUUUAGAUUUUGGUUUUUGGUUUUUAGUUUUUGGUUUUUGGAUUAUAGAUUUUGGUUUUUGGUUUUUGAUUUUGGAGUAGAUUUUAGUUUUCUGAAAAACAUGAAUGGUGGUUUUAGGUUUUAGAUUUUG